AUACGGAGGAUGCGAGCGUUAUCCGGAUUUAUUGGGUGUAAAGGGUGCGUAGGCGGACAGUUAAGUCAGUUGUGAAAGUUAGCGGCUCAACCGUAAAAUUGCAGUUGAUACUGGCUGUCUUGAGUACAGAAGAGGCAGGUGGAAUUUGUGGUGUAGGGGUAAAAUGCUUAGAUAUCACGAAGAACAUCGAUUGCGAAGGCGGCUCACUGGACUGCAACUGACACUGAUGCUCGAAAGUGUGGGUAUCAAACAGGAUUAGAUACCCUGGUAGUCCACACAGUAAACGAUGAAUACUCGCUGUUUGCGAUAUACAGUAAGCGGCCAAGCGAAAGCAUUAAGUAUUCCACCUGGGGAGUACGCCGGCAACGGUGAAACUCAAAGGAAUUGACGGGG
rnacentral:rRNA from 1 species